rnacentral:rRNA from 1 species
AUUGAACGCUGGCGGCAGGCUUAACACAUGAAAGUCGAGGGACCGGCGCACGGGUGAGUCACACGUAUCCACCCUGCCCUUUACUCGGGGUUAGCCUUUCGAAAGAAAGAUUAAUAUCCGAUGUCAGGGAUGGGGAUGCGUUACAUUAGGUUGUUGGUGAGGUAACGGCUCACCAAGCCUUCGAUGGAUAGGGGUUCUGAGAGGAAGGUCCCCCACAGGGGAACUGAGACACGGUCCAAACUCCUACGGGAGGCAGCAGUGAGGAAUAUUGGUCAAUGGGCGUUAGCCUGAACCAGCCAAGUAGCGUGAAGGAUGAAGGCUUAUGGGUCGUAAACUUCUUUUAUAUAAGAAUAUGUAUUAUAUGAAUAAGGAUCGGCUAACUCCGUGCCAGCCGCCGCGGUAAUAC